rnacentral:rRNA from 1 species
UCAAGGGAAGCACUUCGGUUGUGAGUACUUGGCGCAAGGGUGAGUAACGUAUAGGUAAUCUGCCUUUUGGUCUGGGAUAACCCCGAGAAAUCGGGGACAAUACCAGAUGAUGCAGCGACGACCGCAUGGUCGUACUGUCAAAGAUUUAUCGCCAAAAGAUGAGCCUAUAUCCCAUCAGGUAGUUGGUAAGGUAACGGCUUACCAAGCCUACGACGGGUAGCUGGUCUGAGAGGAUGAUCAGCCACAUUGGAACUGAGACACGGUCCAGACUCCUACGGGAGGCAGCAGUGAGGAAUAUUGCGCAAUGGGCGAAAGCCUGACGCAGCAACGCCGCGUGGAUGAUGAAGUUCUUCGGAAUGUAAAGUCCUUUUGUAGAGGAAGAAUAUGCCGGUUUACCGGCACUGACGGUACUCUACGAAUAAGCCACGGCUAAC